GAUGAAGAACGUAGCGAAAUGCGAUACGUAAUGUGAAUUGCAGAAUUCAGUGAAUCAUCGAGUCUUUGAACGCACAUUGCGCCCCCUGGUAUUCCGGGGGGCAUGCCUGUCCGAGCGUCAUUGCUGCCCUCAAGCACGGCUUGUGUGUUGGGCCUCCGUCCCCCUCCCGGGGGACGGGCCCGAAAGGCAGCGGCGGCACCGCGUCCGGUCCUCGAGCGUAUGGGGCUUCGUCACCCGCUCUUGUAGGCCCGGCCGGCGCUUGCCGACACAUCAAUCUUUUUUCCAGGUUGACCUCGGAUCAGGUAGGGAUACCCGCUGAACUUAAGCAUAUCAAUAAGCGGAGGA
rnacentral:misc_RNA from 1 species